GACGAACGCUGGCGGCGUGCCUAAUACAUGCAAGUAGAACGCACAGGAUGCACCGUAGUUUACUACACCGUAUUCUGUGAGUUGCGAACGGGUGAGUAACGCGUAGGUAACCUGCCUGGUAGCGGGGGAUAACUAUUGGAAACGAUAGCUAAUACCGCAUAAGAACAUUUACUGCAUGGUAGAUGUUUAAAAGGUGCAAAUGCAUCACUACCAGAUGGACCUGCGUUGUAUUAGCUAGUAGGUGAGGUAACGGCUCACCUAGGCGACGAUACAUAGCCGACCUGAGAGGGUGAUCGGCCACACUGGGACUGAGACACGGCCCAGACUCCUACGGGAGGCAGCAGUAGGGAAUCUUCGGCAAUGGGGGGAACCCUGACCGAGCAACGCCGCGUGAGUGAAGAAGGUUUUCGGAUCGUAAAGCUCUGUUGUAAGAGAAGAACGAGUGUGAGAGUGGAAAGUUCACACUGUGACGUAUCUUACCAGAAAGGACG
rnacentral:rRNA from 1 species